rnacentral:tRNA from 1 species
GCUUUUGUGGUGUAGCGGUAGCACACUCGGCUUCUAUUUGGGUGGUCCAGGUUCGAGUCCUGGCGAGGGCA